GGUGGCUCAGUGGUAGAGUGCUUGUCUUGCAUGCAUUAGGCCCUGGGUUCAAUUCCUCAGCACCA
rnacentral:tRNA from 1 species